rnacentral:lncRNA from 1 species
AUCCACACAAAUCAAAAGCAGUUUAAAAAAGGUUAAAAUAAGCUAUUUUCUAAAUGUGCUACUUAAAACAACAAAUAAAUAACUUUUUAAAAAGAGAUGACUCUUAAUUAUACUCAAUUUAUACAUCUUCUCAGUCAGAAAGAUGGAAGUGGGCUGGAGGAGAAAUAGGGAAAACAGCUGAUCUGUCUUGGUAACAGCAAAUAGUCCACUGUGGCUCUGGUCACUCCUUUCUCCUGUAGCUGCUCUCCCCACAUCACAGACCUGCCUCUAUAGCUCAUCUUCUGUUGCCCUAACUACUAACAAUGGUCAGUUCAAAAUCUCCACCAUGAUGGCUAGCUCCACUGCCAGGGGAGUCUCCAAAUGGGAAGAGAAAACAACUCUAUCUUCUUCAAACUACAUCUCGCAGGAAGUCACACAACAUGGCACUGUCUCAGAAGCCUCCUAUAAAUGAGGAAACUGAAGUCCAGGAAUGUGAAGCAACUUACCAAAAGUCACACAGCUAGUGAGAAGCAGAGUCAAGAUUCAAACGCAGGUCCUCUGACUCCAGAUCCCAUGUAUUUUUAAUACUUAUCAAAUUUUGGUAUCUGGUGGUGGAAUACUACUGUGCUCAAAGGAAUAAUGAGCUGGAGGAAUUCCAUGUGAACUGGAAAGACUCCAGGAAUUGAUGCAGAGUGAAAGGAGCAAAACCAAGAAAAUGUUAUAUACAGAGACUGAUAACCUGUGGCACGAUGAAAUGUAAUGGACUUCUUUACUUGCAGCAAUGCAACGAUCCAGGACAAUUCUGAGGGACUCAUGAGAAAACACUAUCCACAUCCAGAGAAAGAACUGUGGGAAAAGAAACAGAGAAGAAAAACAACUGCUUGAUCACAUGGGUCGAUGGGGAUAUGAUUGGGAAUGUAGACUCUAAAAGAUCAUCCUAGUUCAAAUAUUAAUAAUAUGGAAAUAGGUCUUGAUCAUUGACACAUGUAAAACCCAGUGGAAUUGUACAUCAGCUAUGGGAGGGGGAUUGGGAGAGGAGAGGGAAGGAACAUGAUUCUUGUAACCAGGGGAAAAUGUUCUAAAUUGACUAAUUAAAUAAAUUAAAAAAAAUACUUCUCA